rnacentral:rRNA from 1 species
AACGAACGCUGGCGGCAUGGUUAAGACAUGCAAGUCGUACGGACCACUUUUUGCUUGCAUCGAGUGGUUAGUGGCGAAAGGGAGAGUAAUGCAUGGGUAACGUACCUCGGUUUCUGGGAUAACCACGGCCUUCGGGUCUUUAGCGAAAGUGUGGCUAAUACCGGAUGAUACCGCGAGAUCAUAUGGUCUUGCGAUCAAAGGUGGGGACCCCUUCGGGGGCCUGCUGAACUGGGAGCGGCCCAUGUCCUAUCAGCUUGUUGGUGGGGUAACGGCCUACCAAGGCAUCGACGGGUAGCGGGCGUGAGAGCGUGACCCGCCUCAUCGGAACUGAGACACUGUCCGGACACCUACGGGUGGCUGCAGUAACGAGUAUUGGGCAAUGGGCGAAAGCCUGACCCAGCAAUGCCGCGUGCAGGACGAAGCCCUUCGGGGUGUAAACUGCUGUCAGAAUCCAGCAAGCAAAGCGGGUAAAUAGCCCGUGGCGUUGAGCAGAUUCAAAGGAAGCCUCGGCUAACUCUGUGCCAGCAGCCGCGGUAAGACAGAGGAGGCAAGCGUUGUUCGGAAUCAUUGGGCUUAAAGAGGGUGUAGGCGGCUCGGCAAGUGUUGUGUGAAAGCCCACGGCUCAACCGUGGAACUGCACAGCAAACUGCCUGGC